rnacentral:rRNA from 1 species
CCUACGGGUGGCAGCAGUGAGGAAUAUUGGUCAAUGGACGCAAGUCUGAACCAGCCAUGCCGCGUGCAGGAAGACGGCCCUAUGAGUUGUAAACUGCUUUUGUACGAGGGUAAACGCAGAUACGUGUAUCUGUCUGCAAGUAUCGUAUGAAUAAGGAUCGGCUAACUCCGUGCCAGCAGCCGCGGUAAUACGGAGGAUUCAAGCGUUAUCCGGAUUUAUUGGGUUUAAAGGGUGCGUAGGCGGUCGGAUAAGUUAGAGGUGAAAUCCCGAGGCUCAACUUGGGAAUUGCCUCUGAUACUGUCAGGCUAGAGAGUAGUAGAGGUAGGCGGAAUGUAUGGUGUAGCGGUGAAAUGCUUAGAGAUCAUGCAGAACACCGAUUGCGAAGGCAGCUUACCAGGCUACUUCUGACGUUGAGGCACGAAAGCGUGGGGAGCAAACAGGAUUAGAUACCCCAGUAGUC